rnacentral:rRNA from 1 species
UACGAGGGGUGCAAGCGUUGUUCGGAAUUACUGGGCGUAAAGCGUGAGGAGGCGGCUUGUUAAGUCUGAUGUGAAAGCCCUGGGCUUAACCCAGGAACUGCAUCGGAAACUAGCAGGCUAGAGUUCGGGAGAGGGUCGUGGAAUUCUUGGUGUAGAGGUGAAAUUCGUAGAUAUCAAGAGCAACACCGGUGGCGAAGGCGGCGACCUGGACCGACACUGACGCUAAUACACGAAAGCGUGGGGAGCAAACAGG